UACCCUAUUUCAUAACUCCAAUAUACAUAUUGGAAAACAUAAACCAAUCGAUGACGUAAGAGCAUAUACUGACAGUAUACUGAGACUCAAUUUCUCUCCAGUGUACUCAGACAACAUGCCUACGCACAUCCCCAUAAAAUCCAAUUACACUCCAUAUGAACAUAUGGAAAUUGGACCAAAUCUCUACACAACACAAAGUGUUAUACUCUCUCGCACUUACAUCUCCGAUACUAUUACUUCAGCCAUUGUUGUUUCCAAACAACCAGAUGAGUGCAACCAUUGUAUGCUAUGGUCGCGCACUCCUUUCUUCUGAAUUUAUUUUUCAGGUUUAGUGCUGAAAUCAAGGAUUCCAAAGCAUUAAUAUGAAAAUGGACGGCCUACCCGGGGAUUGGGUUCGAAGUAACAAAAUUACAAACUUCCCCAAACAAACUUACGAAAAUGUAAUUGGAAUGAAUGGGUUACGCAAUGGAACGUAUGGAAUUCAAAGUCAACCCAAGCAGAAUGUAAUCGAAAAAUAAUUAAAAUAACAAUAAAAAGAAAAAUGUCCCACUACCUAAAAUUCAAAAACAAAAUAAACCUUCACCACAAUUUCCCGAAUUCAAUCUAUUAAUUUAUCUACCUAAUCGAAUCAGACUUAAAUUUUCUAAGUUCAAAUUAUUACUUACAACUAAAAUUUCCUAUAUUUCAAAUAUUAAAACUACUUAAUAAGAAAUUAACCUAAACGUAGUUCACAGGGUCGUGAAUUAACAGUUGGGCGCCAAUGUAAGGGGGAUCCUGCUCGGGUCUUCAAAAUCUCCGACUUUCGCGCCAGAGGACCACGGCCCUCUGUCGGGAUUCAAAGUUAUGGUUGCCCGGACUAGCGUUUUCGCUUGGCCACGCGACAGUAUCCACCUUCAAUUGACUUUUCAACCAACUUACAACCGAUCCGAAAUUUUCGAUUUCGGAAACAACCAAAUCGACCAAAUCAGUUAGAUUAACUCACCAAAAAUUAAGUGAAAUUAAAAAAAAAAAAAAAAACUAAUCCAGAAACUUUCCUUCUUUCAAUCGUCUAUUUUUUCCAAAUUAACCCUAACUCCUAACGAUGACGUCGCUCUUAGCCCUACUCUAUGUGUAUAUCCUAUCUCUAUAAUGGUUUUCCCUACUUGGAAGGGGUUUGUGUGCGCACACUUUUGUUUCAGGGUACUCACGAAUCGAACGAUGACGUUGCAGCACCGGUGAUGGAACGAUGGAGCAGCGUGAUGUUUGCUGAUGCGCUCGCACAGUGUUCCGCUCACCGACGUGAGUUUUCGGGAAUCUCGCUGGCGUUGGCAGUCUUUUCCCUUGACUGAGGCAAAAACCACGGUGGAGUGUUGCCGCUUGUAGCGUACGGCAGCCGUGGGACCGAGCUUCCUCACCGAUGACCAACGCACUCCAGAAUGGCCUAUAGUAGUACGCAACUACGAGGCGAUAGGCCACUCCGGGGGAUUCUACCGACGCACCGAUUCACAAUGAUAAAUUGAAUAUACUCCGGACGCGGAGCCACAAGGCUACAUAAAUUAAUGGUGUCAUUAAUGCCCUGUCUACUACCGAAAAUACAUAUUUUAUUUUUAGUUUUAAAUUUACCUCCGUUCCCUUGGUGCGCAAAAACUGCUGCAACCGUAUUUCUUGUAGAAUUGUUCUACAAUAAUCCUAUUCACAAAUAAAAUUAAA